rnacentral:rRNA from 1 species
AUGGCCUCCACUGGCGAGCACACCGUGUCUCUGCUUGCGCGCCUUCCCACCGAGGCAGCGGAGGAGUACACCACUGACGGGUCCCUUGAUUUCGACGGGAACCCGGCGCUCAAGAAUCGCACAGGUGGAUGGCGCGCGUGCCGCUCAGUUCUCGGCACCGAGUUCUGCUACUGCCUGGCGUUCCACGGCAUCUCCUUCAACCUCGUCACGUACCUCACCGGCGUCCUGGGCCAGAGCAACGUCGCUGCGGCGAGGAACGUGUCAACCUGGCAGGCCACCUGCUUCCUCAUGCCUCUCGGCGGCGCCGUCGUCGCAGACUCCUACUGCGGAAGGUACCGCACCAUGGUCGUCUCCUGCUUCAUCGGCGUCGCAGGCAUGCUGAUGACAGCUCUCUCAGCGUACCUGCCGCUGCUCGUCAAGGACAGCGUGUCGUUCAAAGGCUUCAUCUCGUCCAACAAGAAUUCGUCUUGUUUCUCGGCCUCUACAUGA